ACCUUAUCUCGUUUUGUUUUAAGAAAAUAAACAAACGAUACUAUUCCGUCUGAGGCAGUUAUGUUAGUAGGGCAGUGUUUUUUUUACUUGAAGCGAAACAAGAAAUUUCGUUUUUCAUCGAAGAAAACACAAUCCAAUGCAAGACUCCUUGACACAAGAUGUACAAUGAGCAAACCUCCACCACCAAAGAAGAGGAGAACUAUCACUGAUUAUUUUGCUAGCAGUUCUAAGUUGCCAAGAGAAACCAGGGACGAUUCAGCCAUGGCUUCUGCUCCUGAAAAUGAACAAGAACGUAAGUAUGCA